CCUACGGGAGGCUGCAGUGAGGAAUAUUGGUCAAUGGGCGCGAGCCUGAACCAGCCAAGUAGCGUGAAGGAUGACUGCCCUACGGGUUGUAAACUUCUUUUAUAAAGGAAUAAAGUGAGGCACGUGUGCCUUUUUGUAUGUACUUUAUGAAUAAGGAUCGGCUAACUCCGUGCCAGCAGCCGCGGUAAUACGGAGGAUCCGAGCGUUAUCCGGAUUUAUUGUGUUUAAAGGGAGCGUAGAUGGGUUGUUAAGUCAGUUGUGAAAGUUUGCGGCUCAACCGUAAAAUUGCAAUUGAUACUGGAAGUCUUGAGUACAGUUGAGGUAGGCGGAAUUCGUGGUGUAGCGGUGAAAUGCUUAGAUAUCACGAAGAACCCCGAUUGCGAAGGCAGCUUACUAAACUGUGACUGACAUUGAUGCUCGAAAGUGUGGGUAUCAAACAGGAUUAGAUACCCGGGUAGUC
rnacentral:rRNA from 1 species